UCCAUCUGGCUGAUAAAGCUUAAUUGCUUCAUGGCUGUUUUUUAGGCAUCUUUUGCUGGAGCUGUCACAUGAUUGUUGCUUUUUACCUCCCUAGUAGCAAAGUCCAUAUCAUCAUGAAUGAUUUGUGCAUGGGCUGUGCAACAUAGCUUUGUUGCUACUAGCAUGAUUUGAUAUGCCUUUCAUGAUUUGAUCCGAUAAUAUCUCUGGGCUGAGGUCAGUAAGGAGUCAUGCUGGCCUCAUGUUUUGUACUGGGGAUGCAUUUUAAUCAAGUUGUCAGAUGUGCGAGAGGUUUACUGUGCAAAUGCACAAUUGUGCUUGCAUUCUGUCACCAAUGGGAACCUUUAUUGUCUCCAUACUGUCUGGUGUUGCAGUAAAUACAAUGCAAAAACAAUGAGAUUUUUUUUUUGUGUUCUUACAUGCAUGGCCCACAUAACAUUGUAGAGAUGCAGAUGGAUCUCAGAAGGUAGUUGCAUUGGCACUGAGCGCAUGCAAGAUAUUCACUUUUUUGUUUACUGAACGCAGAUCUCAUUGUUAUUUGUGAUCGUUUUUUAAUAUUUCAUUCUUCACAUUUUCUCAUUGACUUUUUAUCAUGUUCAAGUGUUGAAGUUAAAGCAGGUGAACCUGUUAAGUGCCAGCCUGGAGAGAAUAAAUAUAUACAUCUUUCACAGGCGGCACUUGGUGAGGUGAAAAAGGACAAAGGCAAUGACUCCAUCCCAAUCUUUGUGAGUGUCGGUGAUAAGAAGCUAGUCCUUAGAACUCUUUCUGCAGAAAAGAGUGCUCAUAUUUCUUUUUGAUUUAAUUUUUGAAAGAGAAUUCGAACUAUCUCACAGCUGGAAGCAUGGGAGUGUCUACUUUUGUGGUUACAAGAGCACAGUUCCAAAAGAAUAUCCUUUACAGCCUUUUGCUUGCAUGUUGUUGGCGGCUGAAAGAAUUACAUGUUACUUUGACGGAUAUUCUUUUUUAUCUUUUAUUUCCUUGACUGUGUGUUUGUCUGAUUGUCACAUCUGACGAGUUCACUAAUUCGGAUUCUGAUUCUGAAGAGGAGAUUCCCGUUCUCGUAAGGGAAAAUGGAAAGCCCGUGGUUAAGGAUGAGCAGGCCAUGCCUGCUACUGAGAAGGUUAAGGUUGCUGCUAAACCUGAAUCCUCGAUUGCUAAGCCCAAGGUUCAAAUAGCGGAACCUAGUAAGGGUAAGGAGGAAGAUGAAGAUGAUGAUGAUUCUGACGAUGAUGAAGAUGAAUCAUCAGAAGAUGAAUCUGAUGACGAUGAGGUACUUUUUAUUCUCUCAAGGAGUAUUAUCAUUUUUGGCUAGGAAAAUAAAAAAUUCUCACCCCUCGUUGUGUUAAUUAAAUUUUCUUCCUUUUCCUUUUAGUUGAAGGUAGUAUCAAAUUAUCAGUUUAAUGCUAAUUUGAUAGUCUUUAUUUAUUUAUUUUUGUGA